rnacentral:rRNA from 1 species
AGCGAACGCUGGCGGCAGGCCUAACACAUGCAAGUCGAACGAACCUUUCGGGGUUAGUGGCGGACGGGUGAGUAACACGUGGGAACGUGCCGUUAGGUUCGGAAUAACUCAGGGAAACUUGUGCUAAUACCGAAUGUGCCCUUCGGGGGAAAGAUUUAUCGCCUUUAGAGCGGCCCGCGUCUGAUUAGCUAGUUGGUUGAGGUAAUGGCUCACCAAGGCGACGAUCAGUAGCUGGUCUGAGAGGAUGAUCAGCCACAUUGGGACUGAGACACGGCCCAAACUCCUACGGGAGGCAGCAGUGGGGAAUCUUGCGCAAUGGGCGAAAGCAUGACGCAGCCAUGCCGCGUGAAUGAUGUAGGUCUUAGGAUUGUAAAAUUCUUUCACCGGGGACGAUAAUGACGGUACCCGGAGAAGAAGCCCCGGCUAACUUCGUG